CAAUAGCGUAUAUUAAAGUUGUUGCGGUUAAAAAGCUCGUAGUUGGAUUUCUGCCGAGGACGACCGGUCCGCCCUCUGGGUGAGUAUCUGGCUUGGCCUGGGCAUCUUCUUGGAGAACGUAGCUGCACUUGACUGUGUGGUGCGGUAUCCAGGACUUUUACUUUGAAAAAUUAGAGUGUUCAAAGCAGGCCUCGAGCCUGAAUGAUGUUGCAUGGAAUAAUUGAAUAGGACCUCGGUUCUAUUUUGUUGGUCUUCGGAACUGGAGGUAAUGAUUAAUAGGGACAGACGGGGCGAUUCGUAUUGCGGCGUUAGAGGUGAAAUUCAAGGAUCGUCGCAAGACGGACUACUGCGAAAGCAUUUGCCAAGAAUGUUUUCAUUGAUCAAGAGCGAAAGUCAGAGGAUCGAAGAUGAUCAGAU
rnacentral:rRNA from 1 species